rnacentral:rRNA from 3 species
UGGUGGGUAGUUUGACUGGGGCGGUCUCCUCCUAAAGAGUAACGGAGGAGCACGAAGGUUGGCUAAUCCUGGUCGGACAUCAGGAGGUUAGUGCAAUGGCAUAAGCCAGCUUGACUGCGAGCGUGACGGCGCGAGCAGGUGCGAAAGCAGGUCAUAGUGAUCCGGUGGUUCUGAAUGGAAGGGCCAUCGCUCAACGGAUAAAAGGUACUCCGGGGAUAACAGGCUGAUACCGCCCAAGAGUUCAUAUCGACGGCGGUGUUUGGCACCUCGAUGUCGGCUCAUCACAUCCUGGGGCUGAAGUAGGUCCCAAGGGUAUGGCUGUUCGCCAUUUAAAGUGGUACGCGAGCUGGGUUUAGAACGUCGUGAGACAGUUCGGUCCCUAUCUGCCGUGGGCGCUGGAGAACUGAGGGGGGCUGCUCCUAGUACGAGAGGACCGGAGUGGACGCAUCACUGGUGUUCGGGUUGUCAUGCCAAUGGCACUGCCCGGUAGCUAAAUGCG